rnacentral:lncRNA from 10 species
GAAGAGGCCCUGUGAAGGGAGACCCGAGGGAGAGGUGUUGCAGGGAAAAAGGUCGUGCAUCAGGAAGUGUCAUUUAAAAAGGACCUGAGUUGGGCUGAGUUAUCAGCAAAUACACGCCAUGGCUGUGCUCCCCACCCCCCACCGUACACUAGCAGGGCAGCAGCUCUGAUUGUCUAACGAGCAGCAGAGCCGCCCAGCAGCAACCACAUUAGGAAGGAAUCGGAAACCAACGCUCCGCUGGCUGUCACCCCUUACCCACUUGCUGUCAGACCACAGCCUGAGGCAGCCAAACCCAUUUCCUUGGGGAUCCAGCGCAAACCAGAGAGUGUGGACAGGCCGAUGGAAGAAUGUUGGACCAGCUUUAAGAAUGGGCUGUUCUAAGUCAUGAAUAUUGUAGGAAGCAGCUCUAAGGACCACAGGGCUGGAGGGUGCACAGGAAGGGGCCAGUGCAUACAGACAAAAUAUUACUCUGUCACCCAGACUGGAGUCCAGUGGUGUGAUCUCAGCUCACUGCAACCUCCGCCCCCUCAAGUCCAAGCCACUCUCAUGCCUCAGUCUCCUGAGUAGCUGGGAUUACAGGCACCCACCACCACGUCUGGCUAAUUUUUGUAUUUUUAGUAGAGACAGGGUUUUGCCAUCUUGGCCAGCCUGGUCUCGAACUCCUGGCCUCAAGUGAUCUGUCCACCUCAGCCUCCCAAAGUGCUGGGAUUACAGAUGUGAGCCACCACACCUGGCCUAAAAUGUCAUAUAUUUUGAACUGACUGACUUCUCCAAAAACUUAUGGUUAUUAGUUGAGAGAGAAAACUUGAGAGAAAGUUUCCCUGCACUUGGAUGAGAGGAGAGCGGAACAGCCUGCAUCUCUGGUGCUGGGGAGUAUCAAAUAAGGGGAAUUGGGAGAAGGAUGGAGGCAACAGCGUAGCUCUUUGCCUUUCAAAAUUAAAAUGGGAUGCUGCUUUAUAUUACAAAUCUAAGGAAUUAGAAGAGCAGCAAACUAAGCAACUAAGUUUGUUCUCCUUGCAUAAACUUUAAAAAGCCAGCUUAAAAGUUCUCAAGCUUAAAAUUCGAAAAAUGAAAACAAAUGCAUGGCAUGACAGAGGGGAUAAUUCCUGCACUUUUGGAAAUGUUCUCAUGUUUUCUUCAUUUCAUCCUAUGAAUGAAAAUGCCGUCAAAGGGGAAUAAGGCUAUUCGCAGAGUGCUCAUCACCACGGUAACCACUGAGCAUCUGUACCCUUUAGUAUCUUCAUUUUGAUUAUAAUAAAUGAGUUACGAAUCUAUAUCUGGGGCCCUAGUUAUAUAUUUGCCAUAUGUUCACACCACAUGCACACACACACACACACACACACACACACACACACACUCACAUAUAUGGUGACUAAGACUAAGAGUCAGCCUAAAAGAAGAAUGAUUUGGAGCGGGAGCUCUUGGAGGGAAUGGUAGGAAAAUAACAGGGAUC